GAAAGAAGGAAAGACCUGGACCAAGCAGGCAAACAAGCAAGCCCUCAGCUAAACCAAAUCGAUGGUGGAAGGCUUAUCGAUCUCUUAUUUAAUAAAAAGCACGGCAAUAGUGCGCAACCUCCCCGCGUGUGUCUGCGAGAGGUUCUGAGCUUCCAGCCCAUAGGUACAAGCACAAAUGUUCGAGGGGAGGCGGGGGCUGAAAUCCUGUUUUGAGUGCGUGACUGCCGAAGUCAAAUGCUUAAUUAAAGACAGUUAGUAGCCUUGGCUAUAUUUCUCUUUAAGCCAGACAGCCUUCUUUCUGUAGCUAGGCUGUAAAUCUCGGGUCUAAAAAACGCAAAGACGCCAAAAGGCUGUUUGAAAAAUAGAAAUAAAUAAACCGAGGGAAGAGCCAAUGAAUGUAUUAUUCGGGUCAGUAAGGGACAGCCGCGGCUUCCCCAAGCGCACAGACAAAAAGUUCGGGGUCUGGAAUUUUUGGAGUGGUGGUGGGGAGGUAGGAGAGAGAGGGAGAAGGAGUGAGCGAGAAACUCUUCCGAAAACGGAUUUGGAAAGCACAGUUAGAAGGAAGGCGCCCGGGAACCGGAGGACUUCUGGGCCAAAGGCUUCCCAUUCACACGAGCGCAGCCAUCCCUGCUGCUUGCCGGGCGGUGACUGCAGAAUCUGGUCAACCUUGUUGCACCGGGUCGGCAGGAAUACGUGUCUUAGCAAACAGGCCUUGGAAGCAAAAUGCUGGAUCCUGAAAGCUGCGUCCGCUCGGGAUGGAUGGGAUUCUCGCCCGUUCUAGGGGUUACGAUUGGAAGGGCUGUCUGACAGAGGAUCCAGACUUGCUUCCCACACAUGGCCAAGUUAUAGGGAGAGCCCUGCUGUCCGAUUUCAAAAAGGAAAACAACCUUUGUCAUACUCCAGGGCACCUUCAUUGGCACAGAUAAAGACCAUCUUCCCGCAAAUGNGCAAGACUGACUUGGGAUUUUCAACACCAGCAAGAUUUCGCGGCUGGACUGCUCCUCCAAUUUCACAAAAACAGUUGCCUUUCCAAACAAUGUGCAUCCCCAAGUAAAACAGAUAUUUCUUAUUUCCUUUGUCCCCUUGCCUCGCCACCUAAUGAGGCUCAAGACCACAAACUCAAAACCAAAUGCGAGUCAAAAUAUUCAUGUAUAUAACCCAACCAUUUGGGAAAUUGUUAAAACUAUUACAUGCAAGACNUGUAAGUGUGUGUUUAGGUAGGUAGAUAGGUAGGUAGGUACAAAAUGGAGGUUUUAUAUGCAGCCUUCCACACCUCUCCUCUUAGUGGCUGAUUUACUGCUNUAGAAGCGUAUUAAAAAACUAUCAAACCAGUGCGGUGCAAAAGAGUCACUGCUGCUAGCGUCCAUAUAUUUCUUAUGACAAAUAGAAAUGGGAUGGUGCAGCCNGCCACUAAGUUCCCAGACGAAAUCAUACUCAAAUCAGAAAACUAAAGUCCUUCAGUCUUAAUUAUGCGGGUGGAGAGCUACGCCAAUCUCAGUAAUAAUUUCUGAGAAUGCAUUUAUUUGCACNUGAUUCCACUGCAUGUCUCAAAAAGGUAGGAGAGAGGCCACUGUUUUCCAACCAAUCGAGGAAGCCCUACUCUCUAAGAAAUCUCAGGUUCGGCUGGGUUUUAUUCAGAGGUUAUUGUUUGGGUUGUAUACUACCUCCAGUCUCCAAGGUUGUGCAUCCAAUAGUGGUCUAGGACUACAAUAAAGUAAAUUAGUUAUUGGGGACA
ensembl:lncRNA